AUGUAUUUUAUCUUGGGAGCUGACGCACUGGGCUCUCAACGUGGUGUGGAAAGCAGCCUGUUACAGUGCUGGAUUCAUAAAAGGGCCUUUAUGGUUUGUGAAAGAAUAUCUGUGUGCUUAGGCAGGAAACUUUUUGAUCUGCAGAAAAGCCAGAAGACAUCUAGGGUAUUCUUGAAGUUAAUCAGAGAAAUAUUCAUGCACCUGUAAAGGUAGGGAAAAGAAACUUUUCUGGUUAUAAAAUAUGUUGUGUUUGUUUUAGCUGUGUUGCAAUAAUUUAUUCAUCAUGUCAGACAUAGCUAGAAUUGAUGUUGCUUAUUCUGAAUAAUCAAAAAGUUUGUUACAUCUACUUGUUUCCUAAACUUGAAAUCAUCCAACACAUAGUAUUUAAUCAUCAGUUUGAAUUUCUCUUCCAUACUAUUACAUACCACUAUAUAUAAUAUACAUACCACUAUGUAUAAUACUAUAAUAUAGUAUUAUAAUUUAUGUUUACGGUAGACAGAAUUUAGUCUUUCUUUUACAUUUUUAUAUUACUCUCUCCAUAAUUUUAGGGUGGUGAGACAUAUCAUAUACAAUUUUCACACAUCAAGAAGGCAGUUUUUUAAUAUGUACAUUUGUGUAUAAUAAUACAUGUAAUAUAUUAUUAGAAACUGAGAUUCUUUUGUCUACCCUAAUUUCAUAUUUUUCUUGUUAUUUUAAGCCUAUAAUUUUUGAAGAAACAACCAAGUAACCACAAGUAUAAUUAGCUAUCAGUGAUUUAGUAAUAUAAAUAUUAAUUUGGAAGAAUUUACUUCAUUAUUAGCUUUACUUAAUAUGAGCGCCAGAAAAGGUGGUCCCUUUCUUGGCUAGGACCUAUGUGAAGAUAAAUUUAGAAUUUCUAGUCUAGUAAAUACUUCUCUGAUAAUAGCUUAAUUGUAGCUAUUUCAAACCCAAUUGUUUAAUUGUGGUGAAUCAUAUGCAAAUCGUUCAGAUGUAGGUCAACCCCCACUCCCACAUUCCAGUACCUUUUUGCUAAAUUCAAGACAAAUUGCUCAAUGCUUAAAAGAGACAGAACAGUGCAAAUUAAAGACAUAAGACUAAAAUCAAAACAACAAUAACAUAACCACCAGUGGGCCAGGAGUCAGAAAGUUCUCCUGAAGACGGUACAGCAGGUUGCACGGAUCUAUACCUUUGUUCAUGAUCUCUUGUGUUGGCUGUGUGUUGGUACACAAUAGUUUGCUCACUGCUCAUGCGAUUUGUGGCUGGCAAAGCAUGGUGCCUCUAGAAUACUAAGUUUCCUCAUCUGCAAAUGCAUGUAAUAUCUUUCUUGUCCGCUUGUUGAACUGCAAUGAGGAAGCAGUAGAACAAGGAAUGUAAAAUAAAUGUGUGAUGGCUCUAAUCCCA
rnacentral:lncRNA from 1 species